GACGAACGCUGGCGGCGGGCCUAACACAUGCAAGUCGAACGGAACUGUUUUGAAAGCUUUCUUCGGCAUGAAUCGGAUUUAGUUUAGUGGCGGACUGGUGAGUAAUGCGUUAGUAACCUGCCUUCAAGAGGGGAAUAACAUUCUGAAAAGAAUGCUAAUACUGCAUGACAUAUCGGGACCACAUGGUAUUUUUCUCAAAGAUUUUAUCGCUUGAAGAUGGACUCGCGUCCGAGUAGAUAGUUGGAGAGAUAACGGCUCACCGAGACCGCGAUCGGUAGCCGGACUGAGAGGUCGCACGGCCGCCUUGGGACUGAGACACGGCCCGGACACCUACGGGAGGCAGCAGUGGCGUAUACUACGCAAUGCGCGCAACUCUGACGCAGCUUCGCCGCGUAAAGCACGUAUGUUUUCGAAGUGUAAAAUUAUUUUAUUAAGGACGAAAAAUGACGGUACUUAAUGAAUAAGCUCCGGCUAACUACGUG
rnacentral:rRNA from 1 species